UGGGGGAUAUUGCACAAUGGGGGAAACCCGUGAUGCAGCAACGCCGCGUGAGGGAAGACGGUUUUCGGAUUGUAAACCUUUGUCUUUGGUGAAGAAGAAAGUGACGGUAGCCAAGGAGGAAGCCACGGCUAACUACGUGCCAGCAGCCGCGGUAAUACGUAGGGGGGCAAGCGUUAUCCGGAUUUACUGGGUGUAAAGGGAGCGUAGACGGUAAAGCAAGUCUGAAGUGAAAGCCCGCGGCUCAACUGCGGGACUGCUUUGGAAACUGUUUAACUGGAGUGCUGGAGAGGUAAGCGGAAUUCCUAGUGUAGCGGUGAAAUGCGUAGAUAUUAGGAGGAACACCAGUGGCGAAGGCGGCUUACUGGACAGUAACUGACGUUGAGGCUCGAAAGCGUGGGGAGCAAACAGGAUUAGAUACCCUGGUAGU
rnacentral:rRNA from 1 species